GAUCUUAAAAGAUAGAGAAUUUUUUAUAUAAUUUAUUAUGAUAGUUAUUUUUGUUUAAUAUAUUUUAGAAUUUGAGAUAAAAGUAAAUGAAAACAUAAGGUGUGAUAAGAAAAAAAAUAAAGUGAAAUAAAAGGAAGAGAGAGAUUUGUGUGAUGCAAAGAAAUCGAAAUGUUUUAUUUUCUUUAUUUUAGGGUCAUAAGAGUUAUUUCUACAAGAGAAAGUGUGUCCCAAGUGAUAAGUGUCUUGUAGUGUAAUUGAUAUGUGAGAAAGUGUCUCUAGAGUUAAAAGUCUCUUAUUCUUAUUGAUUAGCCGGCUCUUAAAUAACCUUUUAACAUAAAACAAACUGCCUCCUACUUUCUCGGAGGACUUUAACAACUUGAAAAAAAUUCUUUAUUAGCUAAAUGGCACUACUCCUAUACAAUAGGAACUUAUUGCAACAACUACGACUGGCUCUAUGACCACCACGUCUCCCAUAAUAAACCAACAAAUGGAUAUUUUCUAUACGCAUACUUAACUAGACGAAGAAGUCAUUCAUGGCUAUUAAUAUGGUAUUCCAGGUGGAUGCUGCAGACCGGAAGGUCUUGAAAACAAGGUAGCUCCGGGAGGUGGAGUUCCUGGAGGAGGCGGUGGAGAAGGAGGGCGAGGCUCAGGAUGGGGUGGUCUUGGUGGUGGUGAGUGGUAGAUAGGUGGAGGAAGAGGCUCAUGAGGCGCUGGCCUUGGUGUCCGUGGGGACUAGGCACGUGAAGGAGGGCGAGGACCAGGAUGACUAGGAGGAGACAUUUUGAUUUCGAGCUUUGUUAUUGCAACAUAUAUGUUGUGUACUUAGAGGUUGAUUGUUUGUGUUUUUUAAAACAGUUUAUGGUUUUUGAUUUUCUAAAAACUAUUUUUUUACCAAUCAAGUUUCUUGGAAAAUAGAUUCCCUAAAUUUGAGGGAAACCAGAUUUUGAAAAUAACUACUACUUCUUAACAAAAACCAAAAUCUAUGUUUCCUUGGUUUCUCUUCUAUGUACAUGAGUUUUUUUUCUUUUUUUUUUGUUAAAAUAUUCUUAUAUUAAUGGUAAUCUCUAUAAAAAUUAAACUGAUUAGUUUAUCUAAAUCAUUAUAGUUGAACAAAAAUAAUUUAUAGUAAUUGUUCUAAAUCAUUUUAGUUGAAUAAAAAUAAUUUAUCUGACAUCUAAAAUAUAAUAGGAAAAUGCAUUUAUUUUUAUUAAACUUUGGAGCUUUCUUUAGAUACAUUAUUUAACAAUAUUUUAACUAAUAUUUUACUAUAGACCGUAAUCGUAGAAAAUUUAUUAAUUUUUUUAUAAAUACUAUAUAUUUAUUUCACUAUAUAUCAACUUUAUAUUUUAAAACGUUACCUAUUAAUAAUUUAAUUUAGAACAAAAAUAAUAACUUAAAGAUAGUCAAAAUCCAAAAAUUAAAAACUAAGUAAAAUAAAUAUAUAAGAACAAAGUUUUCAUUACUUGUAAAUUAAAGAAUUUCAAAAAAUCUUUCAAAAGGUAAAGAGGAAAUUUUAUUUAUACACUUUAUUUGAUACCACUAUUCAACUUUACCACCAACCAAAGGGCAUUUUCAUAAAUACAAGAAUUCAUUAAUGUGUAAAAGACUAAAUUACUCUAACCUAAUCUUCUUCUCCAUCGCGUUUUUUCUUUCUCUCUGUCGAGACCCAUCGCCCCUCUCCGGUCUCUUUCCGUCGAUAUCCAUCUCUCUCCGUCGAGAUCCGUCGUCCCUCUCUGUUGAGAUCAGUCGUCCUUCUCCAUCGAGUUCAUCGUCAAAACCUUUGGCAUCAGAUCAUCUUUGAUCACUUCACAGGUUUGAGGAGAUUGUAGAAUCUGGGUUUUUACCAUUCAUAUCUAUUUCGGUUUAUGGAUUACGAUUUGUUGCAACAUUGAGAUUCAGAAUAUUCAUCAAUCUGAAGAGGGUAAAUGGUUGAUUAGAGAUGAGUAUUCAAUGUGAUUUUGUGUUUUGAAAUUUUAUGAAUUGUGUUUACGAGUUUAUUAAAGACUCUGCAUAUUGAGACUUUAGUACUGAAAUCAUUUAUAAGGAUUUAUUAGAUAAUUUAUAAGGGUUUGUAAAAUUCAAUUGUUAUUUUAGAGUCGAAGCUUAGUCUAAGUACUAGUCAAGAGAGAGAGAUGACAUAGUGAUAGUGGUUGCUAGAGAAUUGUAUUGUCAAGAUUCUCUUGCUAUAAUAGUGAACCGGUAAUUUUCAUUCUCUUUACAAAAAGCAAAGCUUUUGGAUAUUGUCUUAAUCUGCCUCUCUUUACGGGUGGUUCCAAAAAAGUCAUAUUUGUCUGUACAUUUCAUGGCAGUUUAUAUCAAUUGAGAAGAGACUACUGACUCAUAAGGAUUCGCAUUGCAACGUAAUGCCAAAAGUUUGAUCUUUUGUAAUGAAACUUGAUAGAUUCUUUGUUACCAAGUGUACUUUAGAUAUGAGCUCUGUUAUUGUGCAGUCUUCAGAAGAUUUGAAGAAGGAGAUUGCUUCACUUGAGUUUGAGAGUCUGCGUAUAGAAUAGUAUCUUCUCUCUCUUUACAUGACAUCUUUUGAUGAACAAGUUACUUCAUUCUUUCCACACACUGAAACAAGCUUAGUCUCACAAUCAGACCUUACUGGUGUGCUCAGCUACCAUUAUCAAGCAUCUCCUGUGUCUGAAUGUUCCUCUUCAUGUCCUUUGAGUUUCCAAGCCAGCUUAAAAGCCUUUUCUACAAAAGAGAAUACAAGAUAUGUUUAUGGUCAUCACACUACCCUUGGAGAUCUUCUAGGCUCAUCUCACAUCGUAGAUGACAUGGAAAACCCGAGUAGGUUCUCUGAAGAAAUCUUGAGAUGCAUAUCUUCAAUGUAUGUCACACUCUCAGGCAAAGCAAGAACCAGUUCUUAUCUUCAGGCUUCACCUUCAUCCAAAACCAGAUUUGAUAGCUGGAACCCAUGCCUUGGGGAUAGCAAAGAAGCAAACGCUCCACGUGGUGUUGUAAUAGAGUCCCUGAAACUUCACCUGGAUGAUAGUUGUUUCAAUAUUUAUGAACUCUUAUAAAUAAUUUAUAAGUCUUUAUAAUUUUUAUAGCUAAUUUAUAAAUCUUUAUAAAAUAAGUUAUAAACUCUUAGAAAUUGGUUUAUAAAUCAUUUAAUUGUUUCUUUUAAA